GAUGAACGCUGGCGGCGUGCCUAAUACAUGCAAGUCGAGCGAACGGACGAGAAGCUUGCUUCUCUGAUGUUAGCGGCGGACGGGUGAGUAACACGUGGAUAACCUACCUAUAAUACUGGGAUAACUUCGGGAAACCGGAGCUAAUACCGGAUGAUAUUUUGAACCGCAUUGUUGAAAAGUGAAAGACGGUCUUUCUGUUACCUAUCGAUGGGUUCGCGCUGGAUUUGCUAGUUGGUAAGGUAAAGGCUUACCAAGGGAACGAUGCAUAGCCGACCUGAGAGAGUGAUCGGCCACACUGGAGCUGAGACACGGACCAUACUCCUGCGGGAGGGAGCAGUAGGGAAUCUGCGGCAAUAGGCGAGAACAUGGCGGAGCAAGCGGGCGUGAGUGAUGAAGGUCUUCGGAUCGUGAAACUCUGUUAUGAGUGAUGAACAUAUGUGUAAGUAACUGUGCACAUCGUGACGGUACCUAAUCAGAAAGCCACGGCUAACUACGUG
rnacentral:rRNA from 1 species